CCUACGGGAGGCAGCAGUAGGGAAUAUUGCUCAAUGGGGGAAACCCUGAAGCAGCAACGCCGCGUGGAGGAUGAAGGUUUUCGGAUUGUAAACUCCUUUUGUUAGAGAAGAUAAUGACGGUAUCUAACGAAUAAGCACCGGCUAACUCCGGGCCAGCAGCCGCGGUGAUACGGGGGGUGCAAGCGUUACUCGGAAUCACUGGGCGUAAAGAGGGCGUAGGCGGGAUAGCCAGUCAGGUGUGAAAUCCUAGGGCUUAACCAUAGAACUGCAUUUGAAACUGUUAUUCUUGAGUAUGGGAGAGGUAGGUGGAAUUCGUGGUGUAGGGGUAAAAUCCGUAGAGAUCAAGCGGAAUACUCAUUGCGAAGGCGACCUGCGAGAACAUAACUGACGCUGAUGCGCGAAAGCGUGGGGAGCAAACAGGAUUAGAUACCCGUGUAGUC
rnacentral:rRNA from 1 species